rnacentral:rRNA from 1 species
CCUACGGGUGGCAGCAGUGGGGAAUAUUGCGCAAUGGGCGAAAGCCUGACGCAGCGACGCCGCGUGAGGGAUGAAGGUCUUCGGAUCGUAAACCUCUGUCAGCAGGGAAGAACGGUCACUGUGCUAAUCAGCAGUGAAUUGACGGUACCUGCAAAGGAAGCACCGGCUAACUCCGUGCCAGCAGCCGCGGUAAUACGGAGGGUGCGAGCGUUAAUCGGAAUUUCUGGGCGUAAAGCGCUCGUAGGCGGUAUGUCAAGGCAAGGGUGAAAUCCCCGCGCUCAACGUGGGAACUGCCUUUGAAACUGGCAGACUGGAGUGUGUGAGAGGAUAGUGGAAUGCCAGGUGUAGGAGUGAAAUCCGUAGAUAUCUGGAGGAACAUCAGUGGCGAAGGCGACUAUCUGGCACAUAACUGACGCUGAGGAGCGAAAGCGUGGGUAGCAAACAGGAUUAGAUACCCCUGUAGUC